rnacentral:rRNA from 1 species
CCUACGGGUGGCAGCAGUGAGGAAUAUUGGUCAAUGGGCGAGAGCCUGAACCAGCCAAGUCGCGUGAGGGAGUACUGCCCUAUGGGUUGUAAACCUCUUUUGUCGGGGAGCAAAAGCCGGACGUGUUCGGCUGUGGGAGUAACCGAAGAAAAAGCAACGGCUAACUCCCUGGCAGCAGCCCCGGUAAAACGGAGGAUGCGAGCGUUAUACGGAUUUAUUGGGUUUAAAGGGGGCGCAGGCGGAUUGUUAAGUCAGCGGUUAAAACGUGGGGCUCAACCCCAUCCAGCCGUUGAAACUGGGGGUCUCGAGUGUGCGAGAAGUAUGCGGAAUGCGUGGUGUAGCGGUGAAAUGCAUAGAUAUCGCGCAGAACCCCGAUUGCGAAGGCAGCAUUCCGGUGCACAACUGACGCUCAGGCACGAAAGCGUGGGUAUCGAACAGGAUUAGAUACCCUAGUAGUC